GGAGAGAUGGCUGAGUGGUUGAUAGCCCCGGUCUUGAAAA
rnacentral:tRNA from 1 species